rnacentral:lncRNA from 1 species
UCUCCUCUUCAUGCAUGUUUCUGAGUGCAUGAAGUUGUGAAGGUUCUACGUGUAAUGCAUAUGUGACACGUCAUCUUACCAUGUGACACGCCAUCUUACCAUGUAUUCCUUCCUGUACAUUGUUUACACUCCAGCUACUGGACGGAUGUUCCAUGCAAACGUCAGUUACUGCUGGCAAACUAAAGAGGGAGCUCCGACAAGAAAACUCCGCAAUACUCCAAGUUCAGCUGAUCCAUCAGGUUUCUCUGUGGAUGCCAAGAUUCAAAAGACUUCAUAAAAUUACUGUUCAAUGAAUGACAGUGUGUAAGAGGAAAGGAAAUCUUUCAAGAAUGCUGCCAUUAAUCUAUUUGGGCUUCUCAUUGGGAUUUUGGGGUUGAUUUUUUUUUCAUUUUUUAAGGCAAAUAUAUAUAUAUAUAUAUAUAUAUAUAUAUAUAUAUAUAUAUAUAUAUAUAUAUAUAUGCCUUCAGUUCCUGGUAGAAAUGAAUGGAUGCCUUUUCUCUGAAAGUGUUGGUGUUGGAUAAAUGGAUGGCUAUGUGAGCCAAGUCCUGGGUGAUUGUAGGAGCAAGAAUCGUUUGCUGUUCUACCAUCAAAGCCAUGUUGAUUUGGGUCGAGCUCUGUAUACUGGAAAAAUUCACAUCAUUUUCUAGUUUGAUUGCUUUCAGAUAGGCACAGUUCUGGUGAAUGCUUGGCACUGAUCUUGGUUUUUCUUUCCUAAAUCUGUGUUCUGUUUUCAUUAUAUACUAUUUGCUCCUUUCCUUUGUAUUUGUUUUCUUUUCCCACUCUUUUCUUUAUCUUUCUCUCUCCCACUUUCUUUCUUUUUUAUGUUUUCCUUUCUAUAGCUGAUAGUGUGUAAAAACAGUAACAUUUGCAUAUGAAGUUAAAAUAAAAAUCAAGGUCUUCUAGAAGCUAAAACUAGCACUUCCGGUCUCUCACGGGGCUGUGGAGUUGUUAGAAGAUUUAAAUAAAUACUUAAAUAAGAGAGGAAUGAAUUCAGCUUAGGUUACCACUUGUGCAUAGGUAUCCUUGCUCUGUUGAAAGUGUUGGAAUUGUUGAGACUUAAGCUAACAGCAGUAAGAGCCUGCUUACACAGUCCUGGUUCUCCCCAACUAGAUAUUGAAGACCAAGUGGAGCCUGACCAGGGUUGCAUGCAGAGCACUUGUUUUGGACCUUCCAGACUAGGAGGCAUUUACUGCCUCACUUUCACUAGCUAGCCACAGGAAGAGUGUUCUCCAUCCUCCUAGAGGUUGAACUUGACCUUCGUGACUAGUGCAGUUCUAGCUUCUCUCUUGAGUCACAGUAGCAUCCUGAUGCCAGGAGUUAGGCUUUUGUCCAGAUUAAAACAACGAGGAAAAGGAAAUGCCCCAGUUUUCUUUCCGUUUCCCAUUUCUUCUUUGUCGAUUCGGUCCCUGGGAGACUGUUUCUCCGCGCUGAACUGCUUUAUGGUGCAUGGAAUCUCCAUCAGCGUACUUCUACCCUAGCCACUCACACUCCUUAGAAGCUGAUUUUUAAAGCAGAAGCAAGGAAGCAAAAGUAAAACACUCCCUUCCCCUCUUUUUCCUCAUUUCACCUUUUGGUGUUGAUUGCUAAUCACUUUAGAUAUAUUGUUGCUAGUGAAUGUAUGAUAGAUGGGUUGAAGCUUUUCUGAUAAUUAGCACAUGAUUUAAAACAAUAUAUAUUUAAAACAAAUAUAUACAGUACAUGUAUUGAGCCGUGUUAACCUGCCAAUGAGAUCUGUGAAAAACGUAAUGGCCUCACUUUUCCCUUUGAAUUUCUUUUACCUUUCUGUGAAGCAGCUCUGCGUGGCAUACAUGUAUUUAAAAACACAAAUAGUGGUAGAAUGGGUUUUUUUUUUACACUUUUAACUUAGCAUGUGGUGUUGAAGUAUUACCAUAGAUCCAGUUUGUCUUCUGCACUAAGAUGUGAGGAAAUCGUGAUUUGUUCUCUCCAGCACAGUGGAAUUACACCUUCAUCAUCUUCUAUUGUUUUGAAAACACUGCAGUUUACCAUGGGACACUGUAUAUAAUUCUUGCCGUAAUGGUAAAUGACAAAUUGAUAUAUUUAAGAGUUAAUAAAUUUGUGAUUUCUGCUGACAGUGUGUCCUUCUUUAUUUCUCAAAUACCCUAUGUGUGGUGCCGGCCACAGCCGAGGACAUUAUGUCCUGCCCUGGUCUCCUUCAAUAAACAUCUUGCAGUCUGUGAUCAUGGCAAGCAAUUUGUUCUCUCUGCACAUAACAGUGCUGUCUUUUCACAAAAAAAAAUUAGCUAAAAGGAAAGUAGUUAGCAGCUGACUAUCCUAAAAGAUUUUAGACAUGCUGCUUCUGUCCAUCUCUUACAGGACUGCUAAAAUGUCCCACUCACUCCUAAUACAAAUCUGUCAGUCAUCUCCAGUAUCUAGCAGUCACCCUAGCUGCUAUGACCCCAGAACUACAGAUUGCUAAGGUGUCCAUGAGUUAAAGCACCACCUACUAUUUCUUAUAUCCAUUCAUGUGACUUACUUUCUUACCUGGAACGGUCUUCCUUUGUUGGAUUAAACCAGUCUUUGACUCAUUCACUGGGGUCCAAAGUAGUGUUGCACCUCCUCCAGCGAAUUUCCUCUGCAGCUUCUAGGUUUUAUUUGCUCUGUCAUGACUUGCAUGGUAGUCUGUAUUCUCUGUUCCUGCUGCUAUCCACAUUAUUUUGACAAUAUAUUUUUGUAUUAUCUUUACAGUAGUAGGAAAGUCUGUAGAGAUAAGAACUGCACAUUCAUGGUUGUACCCUUACCACCAAACCAGAACAAGAAAGAGGCUGUUAAUAAACUGCUUUUUUAAAUUU